GCCUCUAUGGCGCAGUGGUAACGCGUCGCACUUGUAAUGCGAAGAUCCCCCGUUCGAACCGAGGUGGAGGCA
rnacentral:tRNA from 1 species